rnacentral:rRNA from 1 species
UACGUAGGGGGCGAGCGUUGUCCGGAUUUAUUGGGCGUAAAGAGCGUGUAGGCGGCCAGGUAGGUCUGCUGUGAAAACUCGAGGCUCAACCUCGAGAUGUCGACCGAAACCAUCUGGCUAGAGUCCGGAAGAGGAGAAUGGAAUUCCCGGUGUAGCGGUGAAAUGCGCAGAUAUCGGGAAGAACACCCGUGGCGAAGGCGGUUCUCUGGGACGGUACUGACGCUGAGACGCGAAAGCGUGGGGAGCGAACAGG